ensembl:rRNA 5S_rRNA 5S ribosomal RNA
GUCUAGAGAUACACCACCCUGAAUGCACCUGUUCUCAUCUGGUCUCAGAAGCUAAGCAGAGUUGGACCACCUGGGAAUACCAGGUGUUGUAGGCU